rnacentral:rRNA from 1 species
UACGUAGGGUGCGAGCGUUGUCCGGAAUUAUUGGGCGUAAAGAGCUUGUAGGCGGUUUGUCGCGUCUGCCGUGAAAUUUCGAGGCUCAACCUCGAACUUGCGGUGGGUACGGGCAGACUAGAGUGCGGUAGGGGAGAUUGGAAUUCCUGGUGUAGCGGUGGAAUGCGCAGAUAUCAGGAGGAACACCAAUGGCGAAGGCAGGUCUCUGGGCUGACACUGACGCUCAUGCACGAAAGCGUGGGGAGCAAACAGG